UGAUAACUCCAGCUGUGUCAAGUUAACACAAAACUAGCCAGUACACAUAUAUACAUAUAUUUCAUGAAAUAUAUGUAUGUAUAUAUGUGUAUGUAUGUAUAUACACACACACACAUAUAUAUAUCUUUCUCAUAUAUAGAUACUAAUUUACUGAUAAGAAUAUGCCCAAUUAGGGAUAACAGGGAAGUAGUUCAGUUGGUGAUGUGCUUGCUGGGAAAGCAUGGGACCUAAGUUCAAGCGCCAUAUCCCACAUAAAAAUACAGACCAUGGUAUGUAUUUUAACUCUAGUGCAGAGAGGCUCCCUGGGGCUCCCUGGCCAGCCAGGCUAGCCUAUUGAUAACUUCAGGCCACUGAGACACUGUGUCUCAAAAGAGAAGGAUGGCCUUUCUGGUGAUGGCAGCCAAGGUUGUCCUCUGGCUUCCAUAUGCACGCACACAUAUAUACACACAUAUGAAUAUCUAUAUGCACGUAAGCAUGAUUAAUGACUAUACAGUACCAUAAUGGUGUUCUUCAUAUUAUUAAAAUGUUAUGAACCAGAGCAAAUAUUUUCACAUUUUUUUUUCUUAUUCCCUAGAGGGUCCAUCCCACUCUGGGUCUACAGCUUGAGGUCCCAGUCAAGCAGUAUACUCCAAACAAGCCAAGUACCACAGAGUGAAGUGCAACUUCCAUUACUUUUGGAAGUCAGAAAAUACAGGAAUUACAUUAAUUUAAUAAGGAGGUUGUUUUAUUUUCAGAAAUUACAUUUUACUCAGAUCACAAGCCCCAAUUGUUAUCGGAAGGCCCUAGGUUCAGGUGGGUGAGCCCACUUCUCAGAGGCUUUAGGUCCCUUCCCCAGCCUGCUGUUCCUUCCUGGGGUAUGUCUGUGUUAGUUAGUCCUGGUGAUGCUGAGCAGAGCCGAGACGCAGGGUGGAGUAGGGGGAAGUGAGAAAAGGAAGGGAAUAAAAACAUAGAGGACAUUUCCCGGAUGCACAGGGAGCGCCUGCUCUCCUCGUCCCUCCUGGACCCGAACCCUUCCUGCUUCCCCACGAGGGCCCCUCAGCUCCACGCUGGCAGCACCCCACUUCCUAAAUACAUUGUUGGCCACCCUUCAUGCUCCAGUGCUGAUUACAGGCAUCACUUUUAUUUUGCUGGCUUCAUGUUUUCAAGAAAUCAGGAAUAGAGUGAAGACAUUACAGAGGGCCCUCGGCUUAUUUGGAGGGGAGAAAAGGCAGGAUAUUUUUAGCUCCUCUCUUACAAAUCAGCCAUCGCUUUAAAGCCGGCUGUCAGCUGUCUUUGGGGAAAAAAAAAACAAAAACAAAAAACAAAUCAAAAAUUCUGCCUCUGCCCUUGAAUCAGAAUCUCAAUCUGUACACCUCGACAAAACAGAGAGAUUGUGCCCGCGGUUUAGAAGGUGCUGCAGCAGGCUGACACUUGGAAGUCUGAGGGUAGAGAUUAUGCACUUUAUUACCAGUCUACACAUCCAUCAUCCUGCAGCCGGGGUAUUAGCACCCGUGGCACAGGCAGAGGCCUGGGAGAGGAAAUUGAACAGGUGUGGCACUUCGGGGCUCUGGAUGGAGAUGAGAAACCUGCCAGAGCAAAUGCGUAGCACUGUCAAAGCAAGCCAGUCCAGAGGCUGCUGGCAUUAGUGGGGAGCCCUGGGUCAAUAGGCUCAAGAUCUGUUAGCUAUCAAAACUUCAGGGCAAAUGGCUAAGUGAGGUGCCCACUUAACACAUCUAAGAGGACUGUCCAGCCUCCCUCUGUCUCUACCCACCAGAACCUGUCACAGAGUCAUCCUGCAUAGCAUGCCCCAAGCCCCACCCUCAACCUCUCCAGCCCCGAGCUUCUUCCCUUCCCCCAGCUCCCUUUCCCUAAUUAGUCCAGCAAUUUUGGUUAUGUCCUCUUAGGUCCCAUGUGCUCUUGGCUCCUGGUCCUCUCUUGCCCUCUCUUCUCCUCCUCACUCCAUCUCCCCCAUCCCUCUCCACUCUUGGCCCAGUUCAGUCUGGGGCCCAGUUUAGCCUGAUCUCUUCCCUCUUCUUUGCAGUAAUCUCAGCUAUAUGUAGGAAUGUCAGACGCUCACUUCUCAUUCAGUAUCAAGUUAGCAGAUCCCUCGGCAAGGAACUGGUCUGCCCUUCACUGCACCAUGCCUUGGGUCAAUCCUGGGGCCAGUGUUGUAUUCUGGGCCCAGACAGUCAGGUGUAAGUCAGGAAUGGAGUGGUAUAUGUAGAAAGAGAAAGAGAGAAAAUGGGGGCAGGGUGUUAGGACUCUUCAAACCACAAACUUUUAAAAAUGUCUCAUGUUUCUGCGAAUGCCCCUGAAAUGCUAGGGCAGGCUUGGUUGGAUUUGGUUCAUUUGGAAUUGAGUUCCAUGAGAGGCAGGGUGUGGGGGCCGAAAAUGUUUGUUUGUUUUUGGAGUAUUUUUUAAACAGGAUCUUCUCUCAAGAGCCAAGAUGAUCUAAAAAAAAAAAACAAAAAAACAAAACAAAACAAAACAAAACAACUUAUCUUUAGACCUGGCUAUUGUGCUUCAUUU
rnacentral:lncRNA from 1 species